rnacentral:rRNA from 1 species
CGCAUCUGUGCAUGCAGCAUAUCAAUAAGCGGAGGAAAAGUAAACUAACAAGGAUUCCCUUAGUAACGGCGAGUGAAGCGGGAAGAGCUCAAAUUUGAAAUCUUCAAGGUUUUACCUUGACGAAUUGUAGUUUAAAGAAGUGUUUUCUGUUGAAGUUUUGGUAAAAGUUCUUUGGAAUAGGACAUCAUAGAGGGUGAGAAUCCCGUAUUUGACCAUUAUUUUCAGCUGUGUGAUACACUUUCAAAGAGUCGGAUUGUUUGGGAAUGCAGUCCAAAAUGGGUGGUAAAUUUCAUCUAAAGCUAAAUAUUGGCGAGAGACCGAUAGCGAACAAGUACCGUGAGGGAAAGAUGAAAAGAACUUUGAAAAGAGAGUUAAACAGUACGUGAAGUUGUCAAAAGGGAAGCGUUUGACACCAGUGUUGUUUUCUCGAAAAUCAAUUAAAAAGAGUUAGAUUUUGUUGUGUAUUGACCUUAACAGCUUGCAUUUCAAUUUUCUUGCUUUUUUUAAUGCACUUUUCGUUUAACAAGUCAACAUCAGUUUCUUUUGUUGUAAAAAGGUCAUUGGAAGGUGGCUUUCUUUUCGGAGAAAGUGUUUAUAGCCUUUGACUCCUGCAAUCGGAGAGACUGAGGUCUGCAGCGUAGAUCCUUCGGGGUUAGAUACAUUUGUGCUAAGUUAUAGCUUUUUAUAGACAACUUGUUGACUAUGAUUAGUCUUGUAGCUUACUCGCUUAUGCUAUUUUACCUACGCUUAGGAUGUUGAUGUGAUACUGCGAGCA